AGAGUCAUAGCUCAGUGAGAAAGAAUAUGUUUUGCAUGCAGAAGGUCCUGGGUUCAACCCCCAGCAACUCCA